rnacentral:rRNA from 1 species
UACAGAGGGUGCAAGCGUUAAUCGGAAUUACUGGGCGUAAAGCGCGCGUAGGUGGUUUGUUAAGUUGGAUGUGAAAUCCCCGGGCUCAACCUGGGAACUGCAUUCAAACUGACAAGCUAGAGUAUGGUAGAGGGUGGUGGAAUUUCCUGUGUAGCGGUGAAAUGCGUAGAUAUAGGAAGGAACACCAGUGGCGAAGGCGACCACCUGGACCAGUACCGACGUUCAGGCACGAAAGCGUGGGGAGCAAACAGG